UGAAAUUAGAGCCCUGAACAUGCUAUCUGGUAAGGUUUCAAUAUAAUUCUAUAGAAAUAAACAGACACACAAUACCAUACAAUAGUUUUGUACUCGAAUUACGUUGGAAUAUCAUUGCUGAAUCUGCAUGGGUUUCUUUUUUUUUUUUUUUUUUUUGACUGAGUAACACAUUGAUUGAGCUCACAAGGCCCUUCACAUGCUUCUGUGUGAUUGUCAGGCUUGAUUAAACCAGAUCUUUGUAUAAAGAUUGAGCCUGAGUCCUAAAAUGAAAGUCAAAGCCAGAGGAGAGAUACACAUGCAUCCAUGUACCUGAACAAAGAUAAAUGAGAUGACAGAUCUGACAUAAAUGACAUGACAGAAAAAAAUAGGCUGAAACAUAAAACAUUUUAACCUAAAUUGGUUUUAUUACAAGGAGGAAAUCCUUCAAACAUGUCCCUAAUCUCAAUCAAAUGUGAUAAUAUUGUCUUAUCUUGCACACUUAAGAACUUUGUUUUGGGUUGUGCGUCGGUUGGCCUGAUAUUAUUGGUCUGUUAACUACUGUUUGCGAUUAGUUAUCGAUGAUUGUCUGCUCUGAUGUCCUCUAAAACCUCAGAGGACUACAGAUAUCUUUUUCUCCUUUUAUAUAUGCAACAUUGUACUUUGCAGGUAUCUGAAAGAGACAGAAGGCCUCAAUUUCCAAAAACAAAAUAACAUUUUCACUUUUCUGCCUUAGAAAUAUUGUUCACCUUUAACCCAAAUGUGUCAACUGUUGUACCUGAACAAAGGUAUCAUAGAAAGAAGUAUAUUAUAAUAUUCACUAUUUAACUACAGAUGCUAUAUUUUCUGAAUGUUUACAAUGACUGUAUUUGUGUGACAGAAGCUUAAUGGAUAAAGCAGAAUACAUGGAGUCACUCAGCAGCCCCACUCAGUGGAAAUUGCUCCUGCUCUUUAUACCAGUCGAUGAGAUAUCUGUGUGUACAGACCAGGACUUGAGUGCAACCAUUGAUGCAACAGUAAAUAGAGUGGAACAGACACUGGACUCUCUUCAUAAGAAGGUGAAGACAGUCAAUAUCCUUCAAACAACAAUUUUGAAUCGGUAUAUUGAGUGUUUACUACAACAGCUUUUUUUUUUUUCUCUCUAG
ensembl:lncRNA